AGCGAACGCUGGCGGCAGGCUUAACACAUGCAAGUCGAGCGGGCCCUUCGGGGUCAGCGGCGGACGGGUGAGUAACGCGUGGGAACGUGCCUUCUGGUCUGGAAUAACCCUGGGAAACUAGGGCUAAUACCGGAUACGCCCUUUUGGGGAAAGGUUUACUGCCGGAAGAUCGGCCCGCGUCUGAUUAGCUAGUUGGUGGGGUAACGGCCUACCAAGGCGACGAUCAGUAGCUGGUCUGAGAGGAUGAUCAGCCACACUGGGACUGAGACACGGCCCAGACUCCUACGGGAGGAAGCAGUGGGGAAUAGUUGACAAUGGGCGCAAGCCUGAUCCAGCCAUGCCGCGUGAGUGAUGAAGGCCUUAGGGUUGUAAAGCUCUUUUAUCCGGGACGAUAAUGACGGUACCGGAGGAAUAAGCCCCGGCUAACUUCGUGCCAGCCGCCGCCGUAA
rnacentral:rRNA from 1 species